ACGGAGGGUGCAAGCGUUGUCCGGAAUCACUGGGUGUAAAGGGUGUGUAGGCGGGGCUAUAAGUCAGAGGUGAAAUCCCACAGCUUAACUGUGGAACUGCCUUUGAUACUGUAGUUCUUGAAUAUCGGAGAGGUUGCUGGAAUUCGUGGUGUAGCGGUGAAAUGCGUAGAUAUCACGAGGAACACCAGAGGCGUAGGCGGGCAACUGGACGAUUAUUGACGCUGAGGCACGAAAGCGUGGGGAGCAAACAGG
rnacentral:rRNA from 1 species